UGGCGGACGGGUGAGUAAUGUCUGGGAAACUGCCCGAUGGAGGGGGAUAACUACUGGAAACGGUAGCUAAUACCGCAUAACGUCGCAAGACCAAAGAGGGGGACCUUCGGGCCUCUUGCCAUCGGAUGUGCCCAGAUGGGAUUAGCUAGUAGGUGGGGUAACGGCUCACCUAGGCGACGAUCCCUAGCUGGUCUGAGAGGAUGACCAGCCACACUGGAACUAAGACACGGUCCAG
rnacentral:rRNA from 1 species